rnacentral:lncRNA from 1 species
AAAAUAGAAAUAGAGGAUUAUUUUUUCGACUUCCAAGAAAUUGGUAAACCACCUAAGUUGAUAAAGGACCCACUAACUGUCCGACAUGUAGUUUGACCAGAAGCCCUGUCGGCAUCGCAGUAAUCAUAAAGAGAGAAAAAUGAAGAAGCAUUAAGGAAUAACCCCUGAUUUGGGUAAGUUCUCAGGUAACUGAUUACUCUUAAAGCUGCUUUGUAAUGAUCAAUACUAGGCUUUUGCAUAUAUUGACUGAGAGUCAAGACGACAAAGAAUAAAUCUUGUCUUGCGUGUGUUAAAUAAUUAAUAUUUCCAAUGAGAUGUUUGUAAAGAAUUGGAUCUGACAUAAGAUUGGUUGAUUCUAUAGGGAGUUUUAUUGUCGGAUCAAUUAGGGAAAAAGCCGAAGGAAGAUGAGAAACAUCAAACUCAUUAAGGAGAUCCAAGGUAUAUUUUCAAUGACUUAGAAUGAUUCCUUAUUCUUCCUCAGAACCUCCAUAACUAAAAAAUAAUGUUAAGUAUCGAGAUCCUUAAUUUAAACUCGAUUUGAAGGAAAACUUUGAGUUCUUUAAUUUUAUCAGUAGUAUUUCCUGUGAUUAAAAGAUCAUCAACGUAGACAAUAAUAAUUGAAAUAGAUUUCCCUGAGUUUUUCAACAACAAUGAAUAGUCAUAAGAGAAGCUGUAUAACCUUUGAAGUUUAAUGCUCAUGCAAGUCGAGCAUACCAUUAUCUGAAGGCUUUCUACAGUCCGCAUAGAUACUUGUUAAGUCAACAUACAUGUUGGGUUGAGGAGGCUCUAAUUCAGCAAUAAACUUCAUAUUGACUUUUUCUUGCAUGUUUUCUUACAAGAAGGCAUUGUUCACAUCAAAUUGUGAAAUAUCCCACUUUUUCUAGGCUGUAAUUGCCAAAAUACAUCUGACGGUGAUCAUUUUGACCACUGGGGAAAAGAUUUUAUUGAAAUCAACCCCUUCUAUUUGAAUAUCUACUCGAAUCACCAAUAUAACUUUUAAUCUUUCAAGAGAACCAUUUGUAUGUUGUUUAAAUUUAUAUACCCAUUUGUAAGGUAAUAUUUUUCUCCCCUUUGGUAAAUGAACUACCUCUCAUAUUUGAUUAAGAAACAAAACAUCAAUCUCAUCGUUCAUUGCUUGUACCCAACCAGGGUGUACAAGCUUGUGAAUAUCUGUUAGGUCUAAUAAUUAAGGGAACAAAAUUGAGAACAACCUGACUGGGAGGAGGAGUCAAAGCUAACAAGCAAACGGGGGCAGAAGGGACAAUAAAACAUGAGUUUAUAAUAUCACUAAGAUAGAUAAUGUUGCGAAUAUAAUCCUUCAAAUGAGAAGGUAGAUUGCCUAUGUUAGUCCUUUAAGAUCUUUUAGGAGGUGGUGAGGAUGGUGAUUCAGAAGAGACAGGUAUAGAUGACUCAGAAUACGGAUGAAUAGGAGAACCAGAGGAGAAUGAGAAAAUAGUGAACUAGGAGUUGAAUCUAUAGAAGUAGAAGUAGGAUAGGAAGAAGUGAAGGAGUGAUCAUGAUAUGUAGGAAUAGGAAAAACUUUAGAAGGAAUAUGAGAAUAAUUAUCAAUAAAAGGAAAAAUAUCUUUAAAAAAUUGGACAUCUCUAGGCACAGAGAAUCUUUUAGAAGAUAAGUCAAAAAGUUUGUAUCCCUUUUAAUCUCUUGAAUACUCUAAGAAUACACACCUAGUGGAUCUAGGAUUAAAUUUUUCUCUCCUAUGUGACAGGGUGUUUGCAAAACACAAACAACCAAAUCAUAACAACUGAUAGGAUGAUGACUUGCCAAACAAAAUUUCAUAGUGUCUUUUACCUUGAAGAACUCUAAAAGUCAGAUUAUUUAUCAAGUAGGUGGCUGUAAGUAUACACUCACCCCAAUAAAUCAUAGGAACUUGGAUUGAAAUUUUAGAGCUCUUGCAAUUUCAGUAAAUGUCUAUUUUUUUCUCUUAACUACCCCAUUUUGUUGUGGGGUAGCAACACAUAAAGUCUGCUGUAUUAUUCUUUGAGAACUAAAAAAAUUGGAAUCUGCAAUACUCUUUCCUUAUUCUGUAGCAUUAUCAAAUCUAAUAAUUUUCACCUUCUCGCCAAUUUGUCUUUUAAUCAUUUGUAAGAAUAUUGAAUAACUAAAAAUGCAUUCCCUUUAGUGGUUAACAGAUAUGUCCAAGUCCCUCAACUGUAAUCAUCCACCAUAGUCAAGAAAUACUUAUAAUUAUUAUAACUAGGUAAUUUAUAAGGACCCAAUGUAUCUAUAUUAAUCAAGUCAAAAAUGAAUUUAGAACUGAUGUGACUUAUAGAAAAAGAGAGUCUAGCUUGCCUGGCUAGGGGACAAAUUUCACUAUGACAAUCACAAUUAGGAGGAACAACAAGGAAACUGAUAUUUUCAUUGAUGAAUAUAGAAAAUUCCCAAGUCUUACAUGCCAUAAUCUUACAUCAGAAUUAGCAUUGAAACGUACUAGAAAGGAAGCUGGAACAGGAUUAUACAUAGAACUACUAAAACUGGUAAAUGUUUGGGAAACUUUGUGAUUGUCUUGGAUAUCACUAGACUUCUUAGGAGUGAAUUAGAGCUUGUAGAGACCUUUUGUUUACUCGACCAAAAGCUUGUGGCCUCUUUAUUAAAGGGCCCUACAAGACAUAACUAUCAGAAUUGAAGGAUAAAAUGUUAUUGUAUUGAAUACUGAACUUGUGAACUGGCAGUAGGCUAUACUUAAAACUGGGAACAUACAAAAAAAUAUGUUAUGUUAAACCAUAAGGAAUUUGUACGUUAGCUAUAUGGGUGACAAGAAUAAAAUAAGAAUCAGGUAAAGUGAUAUUGAUAGAAACUGCAAGAUCAGUAGUAGAAGUAAAAGAACUAGAAUUGAAACACAUAUGCUCAAAGCACCAACAUUUAUUAUCCAAAUACUAGUAUUAAAAAUUGAAAAAAAUUCCCUGAGUACUUGAGAAUAGUACCAACCACUACAUUAUAAUGAACUUUAGCUUAUUUUGUUCAUGUUUGAUCCUUCUGUGGAUUUUUGUUUAGCCAUCUGAAUGAAAUAUUUGAAUUGUUCUUUGGUCAUGUGUUGUUGACGAGAUCCACGUCAAUUGUGUUUUCAUUCUCACUUUCUUCUAUAGUUAUCACACUAUUUUCUCUGAUUUAUGGCUGAUUCCCUUUGUUGGUAAACUAAAAAUCUUGAGAAAAACCAUGUAACCUGAAGCAAUUAUUAUCCACACGACCUGUAUUACCACAAUAGUCACAAGACAUAUUAGGAUUAUAUUUUUUCUUAACCUUAAGUUUCUGAUUCUUCUGGUUUGCCUUUGUGAACCUUGGUGGUCAUGGAUAAUUAUUCAUUCUUGGGUAAGAGUUAAAAGAUCUAGAUCUAGAAUUGGUUAUAGGGUUUGGGGAUCUCUGAAUUUUCUUAGCAACUUAUACUAAUUCAUGUUGCUCACCAUGAAAGAGAAAGAAACAGUUGGAAUUAGUGGACUUAUAUAACUUUUCCUUUGAUUAUCAUCAUAUAAAAUUAGAGAAUAAGCAACACUAAUAUUAGACAAGGGAUUCAUCAUCAAAAUAUUUCCCUGAGCCUGAGCAUAGAUAUUAUUCAAAUCCAUAAAAAAUUGUACAAGUUUUUCAUCUUCUAGAGACUUUUCUAGCUUCAACUUUCCUUCACAAGUGCACACACAGCUGCACUUAACACAAUAAUUCAGAGAUUCAAGCUCAUCUCAAAGUCUUUUGAGUUUAGCAAAAUACCCUGCAACUUAGCUUCAUUAGACUGCCCAAAUGUAUGCUCUAAACAGAGCCAUAAAUCUUUGGCAGUCCUGGAGUAAAUAACACUACCAGUUAUAUCCUUGUAAAGGGAAUUAAGAAGCUAAUAGAUUACCAUAUCAUUUCACCUGUUCCAAAAAUACAGAUUUGGUGAUCUAGGAUCUGGUGCAUCCUUAGCACUAUUGAUGAAACCAAGUUUGUUCUUGGCUGACAAUACUAUAAGCACUAAUCUCUUCCAUCUAUGAUACCAUCUUCUAUCAAAAAAAGUGUUCACCAAGCUCAUUCCAGGUGAAUCUGAAGAAUGAAGGUAGAAGGCAUGAGUGGGAUCCAUUGCUGGUGUGGUUUGACUGGAUGAAUAGAAGUAGGUAUGAGAGUGACUACAUCUGCCAUUGUAGAUAAGAAUUGAUGAACAAAAGGGUGAUUUGAACGUGAUUACUACUCUGAUACCAUGUAGAAAAUAAGAGACAGUAAUUAGGAAUAUUUAUUCUCUUUCUUUUAUUGCUUGACAAUCAAGUAUAUUUAUUCAAGUUAGUAAAUGGAAAAAGAAUAUUCCAUGCUAACAAGCUAUGCACCUGUCCUAUUUAAAUUGUCUUUCCUAAAACUACUAAUAUGAUUUGCAAUGCUAAAAGAAUCUAUACACUAUAUGUCUUGUUUAACUAUUUGGGACUUUUGUCUUGUGUGCUGAAUUAUUGUUGGUACCUGUUUCUUGUCUAUUCGGCCCAACUUGUGAUCCAAGCUGAAUUUAUUUGUUUUAGUUUGUUGAUGUGUGCUUUCUCUUAUCCAUACACGUGUGUGAUGGAGCAAGAGUUUGACAAGUUCUAGAAAUGACCUUUGUGGUCUUUGGAGUUGAAACUUCAGCUUUGUGAGAAUGAGAAUGAUAAUCCUCCAUGGAUUCUGACAAGCCCUUUUCAAUGCUAACACAAACUAGUAUUAAACUAGCAUGAGGUAAACUUUAACCAUCGAGUUAUUUAGCGAAUCAUAUGUUUUUUUAUAACAUCAAAAUAAAUUUAUCUGAAUUUGCUGCAAACUCUAGCUUGUUCUCUGGUACAUUCCAAUACAAACCUAUAUCUCAAGGUCAAGAAUCAAUUCAAUCCUCUUAUAGUGGUAAAUACUUUGGGUUCCUUUGAUAUGUGUGCAAUAUGACAAAAGGAGGACCAAAGUUUCUCCUCUUGUUUGCACUGUUUAUUUUAUCCUACACCCAAUAAAUUGCCCUUGCAGUGGCAGUGUUGAACACUAGAUCCUAUCUUCCAUUUGUUCAUGCUGUAUGACAUAAAUGUGAUAUUCUUUCUUCUUAUAGAGUGUGUUUGAUGAAUUUGGGGGCUUAUCAGAAGUUUGAAUUGAGUCCAACAAGGAAGUUGUUGAAGUCAAUCUUGGUACGUUGCUUGCAUUUCUCAAAUCAAUAUUUAUAAUGAGUUUACACUCAAAGCAAUAAUCUCUACUUAGUAAUGUACAUUUGUUUAUGGUGAUCAUGUAAUAUAAAGAGAAUAUGAAAGAAAUAUAUUCAAGAAGAAAAUAUAGGUAAAACUAUCGGGUUCUAAGUGUAUAUGUGAAUGAAAAAUAGAGAAAAUACAUGGAGAAAAAAAUGAAUUGAGUCUUCACUUUAAGGAAGUAAAGUUCUCCCACAUUGGUGGGAGAAAUGAAUUUCUUAUGCUUAUAUUGAGAAGCAUUCCUACAUGUGGAUAGUGAGGCAAGAACAAGACAUGCCUUGGACCAUUGUCGCUCAACUUUGGAUUUGGAUUCAAACAAUUGAGAGAUUAUUUUUUGGGCAAAAUUUAUUUGAAACUUGAAAAUUAGUAAAGUUUUAAUCCAAAAAUUCAAGGACAUCACCCUUCGAGGCACUAUUUCAGAACAAAAUAACGACCUGCGUGUGCAGGUUGGAUGUAGGCCAAGCCAGAAUAUUUUGAUUUGCACCAAAACAUGACCUACGCAGGUAGAUCUAGCAGGUGAGGUGUCCUUUCAAAAUAGUGCAUUGCUUCGUUACGAAAAUUUGAGUUGAAAAAUAACUUCUUCUUCUUAAAACACUAGUGUGAUCAUCAAACUGUUGAAUGAGUUCGUUGUUCAGAAAAUUUGAGGUACCACUAUUUUCUGAAGUGGAUCAUUUUAUCUUGGGAGGAUAUAUUCUAUUAACCUUGGUACUUGAGGGGAAUAAAUUCCUUAAGGACACACUGUGAAUUUGGUGAACUUGAUUCUAUCAUUUCUUCCUUCAUCUCUUUCUUUAAGUUGGUUUUAUUGGUUUUCAGAAAAUAGUAGAAACUAAGUUCAUACAUCAUUUGAACUUGUGUUUAAAGUAGUUGAAACUUCUUUGUAGUUCUUGAAGUUGUUCUUGAGCUUAGUGUUGAAGUUCUUAUUAUUAAAUAUACAUUUUGUACCCAAAAAAAUAACAAAAACAAAGACAAAAUCAAUGUCAAACAGCACUAGGAGUAUGGAGUGACUAGGAGUGUACAUCAUACUAACAUAAUCCUGGGCAUCCUAAUAACCUGAUUUGAAAUCUUAGGUUCUUGAUUCCCAAAUGCUUAAGAAGUUAUUAAGUCGUCUUUUUCGAGUCCUACCAUUAUUAGAUUGGAAACUGAAAAGUGAAAUUGAGCAAUGAUUUAUCUGUUUACAUUUCAGUUUUUUAUCAAUAAACGGAAAUGUUUGACAUGUUACUUCAUAACUUUCUUCAUGUAUUCUAACUUCAUGACUUUUUUCAUGUAUUCUAUUAUCUAAUGGUUUACUCUGUUAGUCACAUUUUGAGGUAAGGUUGGUCUUGAAUAAAAUUUAUCCACAGUUUGUUUCAAAUGAUUCGUCUAAUUGCAAAAAAAUGGGGCAGCCCGGUGUACUAAAGCUACCACUAUGCAUGGUGUUCGGGAAAGGGCCCCACCCAGUGGCGGAGCGACCUUUGGACGAGGGGGUUCAUCUGAACCCCCUUCGACGGAAAAUUAUACUAUUUAUGUAAGGUUAAAAUUAUUUUUAUGUUUCUAUAGUAGAUGUUGAACCCCCUUCGGCUAAUUCGUAUGUUCACUUCUGAACUCCUUUAGUGAAAAUCCUAGCUCCGCCAUUGGCCCCACCAUAAGGGUGUAUUGUAUGCAGUCGUACCUUGCAUAGAGGUAGUUUCCAAGGCUUGAACCCGUGACCUUCUGGUCACAUGACAGUAACUUUACCAGUUACUCCAAGGCUCCCCUUCAUUCGUCAAAUUGCAAUAUGUAAUAAAAGAAAAAAGAAACACUUACCAUCAAAAAGUCCUAUAUAUAUGAUCUGCGAAGAUCUCCAGCUUUCUAUCUUAAAUAGAUUUGAGUUUAAUUUGUAGCUUUUUAUUUCAUGCCUCCACACUAAAUGAAGAAAAAGAGAAACCCCUAAAAGUAAAAGGAAAAUCUAAAUGUAGAGGAAAAAGGAAAGGAACCUACAUUAAUUACAACAUUGAAUAUGAAAGCAACAUAGGGAUAACCUAAUGCCAUUAUUAGUGACCUAAAUUUUGGAUCAACUUGGACUGUAUGCAUGAUGCAUUAUACGAGAACUGUCUGAUUUGGGGGUAUUUCCAUAAGAGUUAAUUUGAACUGUGUAAAGAUCUGAUAAUUCAUCCUGAUCAUUCUCUUCCUGUCUACGUUGAUUAGACCAAGAGUCUCCAGUCAUCUUUCUCAAACCUUCAAGUUCAAUAGCCACUUCCUUCAUUGUAGGCCUAUCUUCUCCAUGCGGCCUAAGGCAGUUCUUCACCAGCUCACCCAUCUUUUGGAGUUGCUCAAGACUCCCUUCCCGCAAAACACGACGACCCAUUAUAUAAAACAAGCUAUUCUUAUUCAUGGACAACACAAAAUAGUCGGCCAAAUUCUUGUUUUCAUUUCUAGCUUUAAUAAUAGGUUUUAACCCUGUCAAAAGUUCUGCCAAAACUACUCCAAAUCUGUAAACAUCACUUUUCUCUAUCAAUUGACUUGUGCAAAAAUAUUCUGGACCCAAGUACCCUGAUGUCCCUAGAACCAAUGUUGCCACAUGCGUUUGAUCUAGAGGAAUUAACCUUGAUGCUCCAAAAUCUGCCACUUUAGCUGUGUAAACAUUAUCCAACAAUAUGUUGGCAGACUUAACGUCUCUAUGAAUUAUAGGCAUGGACGCAAAUGAAUGAAGGUAAGCAAGUGUAGUGGCUAUCUCUGCUGUAAUUCUCAAACGAUUUUGCCAAGUUAACCAGCCCGCUCUACGUUAGUUGUGAAUGUGCUUGUAGAGAGUUCCUUCAGAGACAUACUCAUAAACCAAUAAGGAACUUCAUGUUCAAUACAACACCCAAAGAGCCUCACCACAUUUCGAUGGUUAAUUUGAGUGAGAAUAAGCACCUCAUUGAUAAACUUCUCAAUUUGAGUCUCAUCCAUAAUUCUUGAUUUCUUAAUGGCAACUAUGCGAGUAUCACGUAGCACACCUCUAUAUACGAUCCCAUUGCCACCACGACCAAGAAUUCUAUCAUUGGCAUAAUUGUUUGUAGCUUUCUUGAGUUCUUCAGCUGUAAAAAUUCUUGUUGCUUCCACACCACCCUCUUUAGUAAAUAUUCUAUGCUUCAAUAAUAAACCACCAUUUUGUUGGAAAAACUUCUCCCUGACCUUAAUUAACUUUCUUUUCUUGAUGCAAUAAUAGAGCAAAGUUAUCUCAACCACCAGGCAGAUUAACCCAACUCCAGUACAUGUGUAAUUAAAUAGGUUGAACUUUUAUUGUCUAUUUAACCAGCUAAAUAAAAAGUUCAGGAUUGUACACAUUCAUUUUACUGUUUAAUGUAAAUAAAAAACAUGAAAGCAAGUUCUCUACUAUUCAAACAUAGUCUAAAUUUCUAAAAAAAAAUUGAGCAGUUCUUGCUCAUUGAUCAUAAUAAUCAUAUGCACGAAUAUUGGAGGUUUCCUAUAAUAUUCAUAAUUAAAAAUACGUAAGAAUAUGGGAAAGCAAGUGUACUGCUUUUCCACUUAUGUGGUUCGGGUAUGAUUUAUUGUUAUAAAAGAGAAAAAUGUAGUAUUCAAAUUUUGGUUAGAUACAGAAAUAAGUGUGCAAAAAUAGUUUGAAAUAGACUUUCAAGUUUGCUUGUCAUUUGCUUACAUAGGAAGUAAUAUUUCCUCUCUAUCAAUUUUGUGUUACUCUGUUCUUUUAGUCUAUAUAAAAAAGUAUUGUUUAUAUAUAUAGAAAUAAUUUAACUCUAGACUUACGUGCAUACGUAGCGAAAGUUUUAGUGCAUCGACUAUCUGUUUUUUAAUAUUAACAUUAAACUUAGCAUUUUACUCUUAAUGAUAUUAUUUGUAGCAAGAUAAAUGUCUAUAUAUAGUUCAGAUCACAAAUUCAAGAAAAACAAAAAAAAAUCUUUCUUUCGUAAACUGUGUCGGGUCAAAUGACAUGAGAUCAAGCGUAGGGGAGGGAAUAUAGCAUUUGUGGUUGUGAUAGUUUUCCAUUUUACUUACCUAGAGUGAACUUGAUCAAUGGGAAUUUAGAGGAGGGAGCAAUACAACCACAACCAUUCUUUUUGCCAUCGCCGGUAUAACCUUCGGGACAACAACAAUCAUAACUCUUAGGGAUGUUUAUGCACAUUUUUUCACACAAAUUGAUGCUUGGAUCAGCACGUUCAUCAAUAUCUGGCAAAACCAAAUAAGUAUAUCAAAACAUGUGAAUCGACUAAAUGGAGCAUAAAAUAGCUUUCACUUUGCGUAAAACAUUUGAUUAGUGGAAAAGGGAUCAAAUUUGUUCUUGUGUUAUGCGAAAUUGAGUAAUAACUUUUCCUCUAUUAAAUUUUGUUAUUUUGUUGGGUUCUAGUGUAAAAUGUGAAUAGAAAAUAAAGAAAAAAGUGAUUGUUUUUUCACUUUAUGGAAGAAAUAUUUCUCACACAUUAAUAGGAGAAAUGAACUUUCUUGAGCUUAAAAAAGUAGAAGAACUAUGUUCUAAGUGAGGUAAGAAGACAUGUCUCGCACCGUCAUCACUCGCUCACUUGGCUCAGCUUCAACAAAUGAUCGGGAGGUUUAUCUUUUUGACAAAAUUCAUUUAAAAUCAAUUAUUCAAUAAUUAAUUAAUCCAAAAAUCUGAUCAAAUUUUUUUUCUUUCUUUUGUGGCCGCACAAAUGAGUUUGCGGACGCAUAACCAUCGCAUUGUGAAGGGAUACGAUCCUCCAGUUUAAUGUUUAAAUUAUGCUGAUGGGUUAUGCGGUCACAUAAUGAGUUAUGCUGAUCACAAACCCAACACAUAAUCCUUAUCAAUUCACUGGUUUAAUUUGUUAAGCAUUAUAUGGUCGCAUAAUGGAUUAUGCUCCCACAAAAGCCAAUACAAAAGUAUCGACAAGUUUGAAACAGUGCAACUUUUCAAAACCAUCGCUUUUUCUUGAAGCAAUACUUAUUGACUAUAAUUAUCUAAUUUCUCCUUAGAAACUGAUAGGAAGUUCUAUAAGUUAAAAAUUUUCAUUUUCUACGAAAACUAAAGUGUGGUUUGCUGCUAUUGAGUAAGUUUGAAGUUCGACAAAAUUUGAGGUACAACUAUUCUACUGAAGUGAAUCAUGAUAUAUUUCAAUGUUUUGAAAGGCUAGGACAUGAGGCGAGACGUUUUGCAUGGCAUGGAGCGAGACGUAAGCCCAAAACAUGGGGCUUACGUUCUAUGGAUCUACAACGCGUAUCUUAUGUAUCUUCAAUUUUAUAAUUUUAUUACUAG